rnacentral:rRNA from 1 species
AAAUUGAAGAGUUUGAUCAUGGCUCAGAUUGAACGCUGGCGGCAGGCCUAACACAUGCAAGUCGAACGGUAACAGGAAACAGCUUGCUGUUUCGCUGACGAGUGGCGGACGGGUGAGUAAUGUCUGGGAAACUGCCUGAUGGAGGGGGAUAACUACUGGAAACGGUAGCUAAUACCGCAUAACGUCGCAAGACCAAAGAGGGGGACCUUCGGGCCUCUUGUCAUCGGAUGUGCCCAGAUGGGAUUAGCUAGUAGGUGGGGUAACGGCUCACC